GACAGAGGUGGCAAGCGUUGUCCGGAAUCAUUGGGCGUAAAGAGCGUGUAGGCGGACUUAAAGGUCUGGUGUGAAAGCCCGGGGCUCAACCCCGGAGGGUCACUGGAAACCAUAAGUCUUGAAUCUGGAAGAGGAGAGUGGAAUUCCUGGUGUAGCGGUGGAAUGCGCAGAUAUCAGGAGGAACACCAAUGGCGAAGGCAGCUCUCUGGUACAUGAUUGACGCUGAGACGCGAAAGCGUGGGGAGCGAACAGG
rnacentral:rRNA from 1 species